UUUCAAUUUUACUGAAAACUAACUUAGUACCUUUCUGGCCUAGUUUUAGUUGUCAGUAAAGUCACUCUUUCCAGUUGUCUCCAUAUUUUCUCAAUAGCCUUUGAUCUGUAAGGAUCAGUACCAGCAGCUGUGGCUAUCAGUUGCUAUGUUUCUAGUGACUUUGCUGCUGUAGACUCUAACCAGGAAAAUACUGAACACCUCAUGAUAACCUUAAUGACAUGAUGUGAUGUGGCUUUUUCUUCAGAUGGCACCAUGUCUUGAGUGCAGACACCUCCUGCCAGUGAAUACACCCUCUUGCAUUGGAUGUGAGUCACCAAUAGCUCCACAGCUGCAGCCCCAAACCAACAUCUGCGUGAAGGGCAAAGUAAUUUGUCAGGCGUGUGGCACAGGAAAUCUUCACCAUAACCACAGUGUGACUUGUGAAAGCAAGCUGCCUGCAAUACAGACGCUAAGGCUUCUUCCAUCAAUCACACUAGGGUUAAUCAAAUCAAAGCACAACAUUCUUUUCUCUGGAAAACUGAAGUCAUAGCCCUGUGUCCCUAUGUUACAAAAGCAGAGAUUCCCUCCCUCAUGGGAUAUUCAAGCCCAGUACUCCCACAGAUCCUCCAUCACAAAUGUCCAGCUAAAGAGAAGCGUACCUUUGAGUUCCUCCUGUGGAAGUCAGGAUUGUGUGUGCCAUUGUGAAAGCUCAGAAGGCUCUUAGAAAAUGGGGAGUCUUGGCUCCAAGGGAGUUUUGUUUGUGUUCAGAUUCUUUUCAAGUGCAGUAGCAAACUUGAGUGUCUACAUCAGGAAGAGAAUUUUUGUUGUUUUCCAUUAUUUUGUGAAAAUAAAAUAUUCUUUUCCAUUA